AAUUUUUUCAAAAAAAAUUUCUAAAAUCCUAUUUCAAUUUUCUAUAAGUAAACGGCUCUAAAAAUUCGAAAAUAAAAAAACAAACUCAUGAUCCAAUUGUUUCAAAAGGAAAACAAAUUAUUUUUAGAAAAUAUGUCAUAUUUUAGAGGAAUACUUUCCUCGUCAACUCUAUCCAAAUCCUCUUUAAAGAGGUGGGCCCUUAUACGCAGAGGUAGGCUCUUCAGGAUCCAAUAUCGAUUGUGGACUGAGUGUAUUAGUGGCUUGUAUGGAAAAAUGGACUCUGUUAAAAUUGUCAUAGUUUUAACAGUGAUACAUUCCGGUCACUGAGCCUUUUGUGCGUCUUAUUUCUACGUAAAAAAGAAAAAAAGGAACCUUAGUGAAAAGUGAGGGAGUCUUAAGUUCGUAGUAGUCUGUGGGUUGAGGAUUGUGAGUGACCAGGCAUACCUCAUGGGUUAGUCCUUUGGGAUCUCACAUCGGUUGUGGAUUAGGUGUGUGAGUGGUUUAUAUGGAAAACAGACUGUUAAAAUUGUCAUGGUUUUAAUAGCGAUUAAUUCCCGUUAUUGAGUCAUUUGUGUGUCUUAUAUCAAUUUAAAAAAAAUAAAAAAAAUAAAGACGAAAAAAAAAGGGAGUGGGUGAAGUUAGAAGAAAAACAUGAUGUAUUAUGUCUACGUAAACCAAAAUGAAAAAAAAAAUGAAGACGACAAAAAAAAAAAAGGAAAAUUUGCCUCUUUAAGAGCUAUUUUAAAAAAUCAUAGUUUGAAAUUAAAAUUUAUAAAAAAAAUUGCAUAAUCAAGUGUUUAAAUUUUGGAGCAUCUUUGUUGAAAGGAUUUUAUCUGAAUACAUCAUGUAAUUAAAAAAAAAAAACUAAGGAAUAUUCCUUGAAAAUGAGGGAGAUUGAAGGAUAGAAUGUACAGAGCAUUUGUUUGACAACAGUAGUAAAUAGAUUAAUUAUAAUUAGAAAUAUUUUGCAAGAAGGUGAAGUUAGAAAAAUUUUAUUGGAGUCACACAUUUAAAGUUACAAUAAGUUAAAAAAGAAUAUAAGCAAGAGGCAACCUUGAGCUCAACUAUUAAAUUAUGUAAACAGUUUUCAAAAUUCUUAUCAAAAUUUUACAAAUUUCAAGAAGAUUGAAGAGCUUUGAUCUUGUGAAUCUUCCCUCAAUUUCUUUUUCGGUUAUUAAACUGAUUGUCUGCUGAUGAAUUUGAACAGGAUUUGAGAUCUUUGCCCAUUUGUCUAAAAAAAAUUAUCAGACACUUGUACAUUUGUACUUUUACUUAACAAACACUUCAAUUAAUUCUUUUGUCCACUAGACAUCUGAACUUAAAAAAAAAAAGAAUUAAUAUUCAAACACAAAAUUGGACAAUCCAAGUAUUGUUUAAUACACGCACGGAGAUGUGGCGAAUGACAGUUAAAUGGAAGUAAUUCAAUCUAAGCUGACAUUAUAGCUAUAGGAACGUAUUGUAUUUGUAGGGCAUUGUUCAUGAAGGAAAAUGAGGAAGCUCUUAUAGAAGAAGCCAAAGCACUUGGCUAUAAAAAGGCUAUUAUUUUUGUUUCAACAAGAAUUUCAUCGAAAAAGAAGAAAACUUCACCUUCCCUUACUUCUCUCUCUCUCUCUAUUUUCUGCAAUAUAUGUGCUUGUGGCCAUUGUGCUGGUGGGUUUGGUUAGCUCAAUGAAAUUCGAUGAGCUAUUUCAAACCAAUUGGGCUCUUGAUCACUUCAUCUAUGAUGGAGAGCUUCUUAGCCUCUAGCUUGACGACUAUUAUGGUAUGUAAAGCUCAAAAGCCUUGGGCAUUGAUAUUCUUUUAGUUUCUCUUUUAUAGUCUGCAGCUACCCAUUUGUGAUUAUUUAGUCCUGAUUAGUUUAGGCUAAUGAAUCCUUUGUUAGGUUAUCUAUCAUAACAAGCAUGCAAAUCUAAGGCGCAUACAUACAAAUCGUACAAUCACACACUCUAGAAAAGAGAAGAAGAAUAACAC
rnacentral:misc_RNA from 1 species